rnacentral:rRNA from 1 species
AUGACCAAUCGUUUGCAGAAGCAGAUACCGGAGUUAGGGCACUCCUUACAGUCUGGGUUUCUGAAAGGACGCUCCAUUGUUGAAAAUUUUGCGCUGGCUGCGAAGUUAAUUCAGUGUGCUCACAAAAGAAAGCUACCUGUUAUCGCUUUGAAGCUGGAUUUCCACAAAGCCUUCGAUAGCGUCAGCUGGGACUACCUCAAGCAGGUCAUGGAAGCAAGGGGAUUUCCACAACAAUGGAGGCAGUGGGUCGACAACCUGCUCUCGUCUGGCAGCUCUAGAGUCAUGAUCAAUGGGGAGCUGGGUCCACCCAUCCUUGCCAAGCAUGGUUUUAGGCAGGGUGACUCACUGUCACCUUAUCUCUUUCUGCUGGUGGCAGAUGUGUUACAAAGGCUACGCUGUCUGCAUUUCCAAAACGGGUCUCUGCAACAUCCGCUCAACGCGGACCGCUUCUUUCCUGUGCUGCAGUACGCGGAUGACACUUUGAUCAUCUUCAAGGGUGACAUACAGCAGGCCACGAUCAUCAAGGACAUCCUUAACUCCUUCUCAGCCUUCUCAGGUUUGACUAUAAAUUUCCACAAAAGCACCUUAGUUCCUGUUGCUGUGGAUUCAGUCGUCGUGGAUGAGAUUGCCAGUCUGCUUGGUUGCCCCAUCUCCUACACCCCCUGCACGUAUCUUGGCCUACCUUUGUCUCUCAAUAAGAUCACCCACGGGAUGCUGCUACCAGUUAUUCACAAAGUGGAUCGUCGUCUGUCGGGCUGGUUGGCCACCUUCCUUUCUCUAGGUGGGAGGCUAACCCUCGUCAACUCUGUGCUGGCUGGCAUUCCUACAUACUUCAUGUCAUGCUUCCCAUGGCCUAAAGAGUCGAUCUGCUCUCUGGAGAGCCUGCUGCGAGCGUUUCUUUGGCAAGGAAAGAACAAAGUGAAGGGGGGCCAAUGCCUCGUGUCUUGGGACUAG